rnacentral:rRNA from 1 species
UACGUAGGGUGCAAGCGUUAUCCGGAAUUACUGGGCGUAAAGGGUGCGCAGGCGGUUAUAUAAGACAGAUGUGAAAUCCCCGGGCUCAACCUGGGAAUGGCGAUGAAGACUGCAAGGCUAGAAUCUGGCAGAGGGGGGUAGAAUUCCACGUGUAGCAGUGAAAUGCGUAGAGAUGUGGAGGAACACCGAUGGCGAAGGCAGCCCCCUGGGUCAAGAUUGACGCUCAUGCACGAAAGCGUGGGGAGCAAACAGG